rnacentral:rRNA from 1 species
UGGGGAAUAUUGCACAAUGGGGGGAACCCUGAUGCAGCGACGCCGCGUGAGCGAAGAAGGUUUUCGAAUCGUAAAGCUCUGUCCUAUGAGAAGAUAAUGACGGUAUCAUAGGAGGAAGCCCCGGCUAAAUACGUGCCAGCAGCCGCGGUAAUACGUAUGGGGCGAGCGUUGUCCGGAAUUAUUGGGCGUAAAGGGUACGUAGGCGGUUUUUUAAGUCAGGUGUGAAAGCGUGAGGCUUAACCUCAUUAAGCACUUGAAACUGGAAGACUUGAGUGAAGGAGAGGAAAGUGGAAUUCCUAGUGUAGCGGUGAAAUGCGUAGAUAUUAGGAGGAAUACCGGUGGCGAAGGCGACUUUCUGGACUUUUACUGACGCUCAGGUACGAAAGCGUGGGGAGCAAACAGGAUUAGAUAUCCUGGUAGUCCACGCCGUAAACGAUGAAUGCUAGGUGUUGGGAGUCAAAUCUCGGUGCCGAAGUUAACACAUUAAGCAUUCCGCCUGGGGAGUACGGUGGCAACACUG